rnacentral:misc_RNA from 1 species
AAAUGAAAUACAUUUAUUAUAUUGUUUUGUUUCAAAUACAACUUUAUAUGACAUUUGAAAGGAAGGGAAGAAAGAGAUAAACCUUGUAUGUAUGUAUUGUAUAAUGUUGUACGUGAGUGACCAUAGAGGCCACAAAUCAACCAGCCAUUAAUCAAUAUAAACGAAAUGAAUCGGGUAAUCAAAUCCACUUAUUCCAACUUCGAAUAGAGGAAAAGUUAAGAUCAGAAUCCUGGACCCAGCACGCUUCUUGUUAAAGACAAACCAACUGGAUAAGACCUGUGAAUCCUCAUUUUGCUAGCAACUGGACCUUUGGCAAAAUAGUCAGUAAUAUCUUUUCCUUCUGUACCCGUAAACGACUUUGGUGGCACACUUGAUUCAUUAGAUUCGACAAUGAAUUCAAGCCCCUUCACAGAACUUUCCUUGGGAGUCGCCUUUGAAUGCUCUAUCAGCUUAGCCUCGAUGCCCUGAAUAACCUUAGUAUUUUGAACAUCCUUAAUGCCCCCAGCAGCUUGGCACAAGUACCACAAACCAGAAUUAGUCACAUCCUGGUUACUCUCAAGAAGCUCAAUCUUCCCUUCCAAUCCAGACACCAUCUCAUGGAUUAAGUUUAUAUCGAAACCAAUUUGAUUUAGAUUAGCCUUAACAUCUCUCACAUCAUUAGUAAUAAGGUUUGAGAUCUCAAUUUGCUCAUCUAGCUUCCAGUCCAAGUUUUCCAGCCUCUUAGUCAAAUGUCUUCUUGUAGAAGCCAAUGCAUCAGAUACGUUGUCCAACUGCUUAGACACAGAUGCAACAGCAUUCGCCAUAUUAUGCUUUGUGACAUACAUUACAUCAGAAAAUGACCAACCCUUCCACUUCAUGUAACAAUAUCCCAUCGCCCCAACUGCGGCAGCCGGAAGAAUGUAAGAACCAUAGCUCCCACUGGAGGAAGAAUCCUUAUUGAAAAUAGUAAUUGGAUUUGAUAUGCUCAUCUCCCGGAUCUCUUGUGCUAAUUGUCGAAUCUGAGCUGCUAGAAGAGCAGUGUCAUAUUUACCAGGAGAUGUCUCAGCUGCAUUCACACCAUUUAUCACCUCCUGAAGCUGCGAGAUCAGAUCGGAUAAUCGUCCACUCUUCAAUAUUACUGACCCAGUCAAACCUGCGCCGACGAGUAUGAGUACUUUGGAAGUGGCGACGCCGGUUUGCAUCGCCAUGUUUCGGUGUUGUGAAGCCGCCGCCGGUGGAACUAAUCGUUGAAUUUCAAUAUCUCCGGCGAACUUAUACCUUUCCCUU